rnacentral:rRNA from 1 species
GACGAACGCUGGCGGCGUGCUUAACACAUGCAAGUCGAACGGAAAGGCCCUGCUUUUGUGGGGUGCUCGAGUGGCGAACGGGUGAGUAACACGUGAGUAACCUGCCCUUGACUUUGGGAUAACUUCAGGAAACUGGGGCUAAUACCGGAUAGGAGCUCCUGCUGCAUGGUGGGGGUUGGAAAGUUUCGGCGGUUGGGGAUGGACUCGCGGCUUAUCAGCUUGUUGGUGGGGUAGUGGCGUACCAAGGCUUUGACGGGUAGCCGGCCUGAGAGGGUGACCGGCCACAUUGGGACUGGGAUACGGCCCAGACUCCUACGGGAGGCAGCAGUGGGGAAUAUUGCACAAUGGGCGGAAGCCUGAUGCAGCAACGCCGCGUGCGGGAUGACGGCCUUCGGGCUGUAAACCGCUUUCGCCUGUGACGAAGCGUGAGUGACGGUAAUGGGUAAAGAAGCACCGGCUAACUACGUG